rnacentral:rRNA from 1 species
AACGAACGCUGGCGGCGUGGAUAAGACAUGCAAGUCGAACGAGAGAAUUGCUAGCUUGCUAAUAAUUCUCUAGUGGCGCACGGGUGAGUAACACGUGAGUAACCUGCCCCCGAGAGCGGGAUAGCCCUGGGAAACUGGGAUUAAUACCGCAUAGUAUCGAAAGAUUAAAGCAGCAAUGCGCUUGGGGAUGGGCUCGCGGCCUAUUAGUUAGUUGGUGAGGUAACGGCUCACCAAGGCGAUGACGGGUAGCCGGUCUGAGAGGAUGUCCGGCCACACUGGAACUGAGACACGGUCCAGACACCUACGGGUGGCAGCAGUCGAGAAUCAUUCACAAUGGGGGAAACCCUGAUGGUGCGACGCCGCGUGGGGGAAUGAAGGUCUUCGGAUUGUAAACCCCUGUCAUGUGGGAGCAAAUUAAAAAGAUAGUACCACAAGAGGAAGAGACGGCUAACUCUGUGCCAGCAGCCGCGGUAAUACAGAGGUCUCAAGCGUUGUUCGGAAUCACUGGGCGUAAAGCGUGCGUAGGCUGUUUCGUAAGUCGUGUGUGAAAGGCGCGGGCUCAACCCGCGGACGGCACAUGAUACUGCGAGACUAGAGUAAUGGAGGGGGAACCGGAAUUCUCGGUGUAGCAGUGAAAUGCGUAGAUAUCGAGAGGAACACUCGUGGCGAAGGCGGGUUCCUGGACAUUAACUGACGCUGAGGCACGAAGGCCAGGGGAGCGAAAGGGAUUAGAUACCCCUGUAGUCCUGGCAGUAAACGGUGCACGCUUGGUGUGCGGGGAAUCGACCCCCCGCGUGCCGGAGCUAACGCGUUAAGCGUGCCGCCUGGGGAGUACGGUCGCAAGAUUAAAACUCAAAGAAAUAGACGGGGACCCGCACAAGCGGUGGAGUAUGUGGCUUAAUUCGAUGCAACGCGAAGAACCUUACCUGGGCUUGACAUGUAAUGAACAACAUGUGAAAGCAUGCGACUCUUCGGAGGCGUUACACAGGUGCUGCAUGGCCGUCGUCAGCUCGUGUCGUGAGAUGUUUGGUUAAGUCCAGCAACGAGCGCAACCCCUGUUGCCAGUUACCAGCACGUGAAGGUGGGGACUCUGGCGAGACUGCCCAGAUCAACUGGGAGGAGGGUGGGGACGACGUCAGGUCAGUAUGGCCCUUAGGCCCAGGGCUGCACACGUACUACAAUGCCCAGUACAGAGGGGGCGGAAGCCGCGAGGCGGAGGAAAUCCUGAAAACUGGGCCCAGUUCGGACUGUAGGCUGCAACCCGGCUACACGAAGCCGGAAUCGCUAGUAAUGGCGCAUCAGCUACGGCGCCGUGAAUACGUUCCCGGGUCUUGCACA